AAACGAUUUGGGGUGGGCAGUCCUGGAGCCUCUCGCUGGCCUUACGGAGAGAGAGCUAGGGUGGAGGAGAGCCCUGGGGAGCAGGCAGAGGUGUUCCAGGUAAAGGAGAAGGAUCCCAUUAACAUGGCCUCACAAGAAAACCAGACUUCAGGGAGAGGAGAGCAGAAGGACAUUCUCUCUGGGACCCCUGAGCCCAUCUAACCUCCAGUCCGUCCAUCAACUGAUUACUGCUCAGUCACCUCAGACGAUGCCACUGGGAGCCAGAGAACUGCCUCGCUGAGCCCUGCCUGAAUGCCUGACUCAUAACUCAUGGUGUCAGUGAAAGUGAAUACCCAGCCACACCCAGCUUACAGGAGGAGCUAUGAAUAUUCAUGAAGACCAUCCUGAUGCAUGCGUAUUGAACCAUAGGUAUGUAACCUAUGACCUAUUCCACCCUGGGGAGGAGACUUAGCAUUUAAAUGUAUUACAAUUAGGCCCUAUAUGUGAAAAGAUCUUUUUAAGACCUGAAGGCAGCCUCUGUAAACUGGCCAGAACCAGUCUGUGGUGGCUGGUCUUCUUAUCUGGAGAAAGUUACUGAAAUCCAUUCUGUCCAAUCAAAGCUGUAGUUAUGGCUGAUGAAACAGCGGGCUCAGUUAGUCAUUGUCUAGCGGUGAGUUACAAAUUGCUUUAAUAUUGUUUAUCUCAUGGCCAGUGCUUGUUUUGCUGCUAGAGAAAAGGAAGAACCUUAUGGCAGUUAGAAAAUAGUUUAUUCUUUAAAGCAUAGGGAUGUGGGACUUAACCCUUGCCUGACAUGGCCUUGGGUCCUGUUUAUAAUGUGGCAUCUUAUUGCCACAGAGCCUUCUGUCAGUCUUAUGGCCUCUGUUUUAACAUGAAUGCUGGUCAGUUGUUGUGUGUAUACUGCAAGCAAAAGGGAGAGGGGAUAACGAGGCAUGUCUGACCUCCCAUCCCAUCAUGGCUGAGAACUCAGUUUUUAAGUUUUUUCUGGGGUCUUUUUGCCCAAGAGGGGGGUCUAUUCAGUU